ACUGUUUUGUGCCAAUUCAAGUGAAUUCAUUUGUUUUAGCUGCUGAAAGAGAAAUGGACUGAAACGGAGUCUGUCAGAGUGGCAAACCUAUGCACUGAAUGGUAUUUCCCAGUGCCAACUAAGGAUACUAACAGGCUCCUUCUUUUCCAGCAGCUGCUAUCUCAUGCAGUACUGGGCAGAGCAAAUGCUCAGGUUAAACAGUUCCGGAAAGAGAUAAAAGAGACUGGCAUAUGGCCCCUGCUAACAGCCAGACCUGAUGUCCUGCCCGUUUUGUUCCCCCGUGAGACAUACAUUGAACUCACCCCCAAAAUGGUCCUUAAAUGCAUAAUUUGGCCAGGGGAGAGCAUUGACAGUGAUGACAGUGAGGACGAGAUGCCAACAGCAAAUACCAGUAUCAUCUCGGGGUUCUUUAGAACCUUUGUCAAAGAAGCAUCUUCAGACGUCCUGAAAGACCUGUUGAAGUUUUGGACCGGGUGGGAAUUGCCUGCCAAGCGACUAACGUUAGAAGUUGUUAGAUCCCGCGGACAUCAUCAUCUACCAACUUCAAGUACGUGCUAUGAGGGACUGAGAAUCCCAAAUCACUAUAAGAGUGUCACUGAAUUAAGAUCAGACCUCCAUACAUGCCUUCAGUCAGUUGAGACUGAAGGUGGUUC